rnacentral:tRNA from 2 species
UGCGGGUGUGGCGGAAUUGGCAGACGCGCAGGACUAAGGAUCCUGUGGUAGAAAUACCGUGGAGGUUCGAACCCUCUCACCCGCAUC